CUUUUGUUCUUUCCAUCAGACCCGAAGGCCCUCUAUGUCAUCUUCACCUGGGACAGCGGAGCACAGAUCUAUGAACUAGUGGCUCAGACCCUCGGGGAGAAGAAAAAUUGGACAGUGGUGAUUAAAUCAACGGUUGACGAGUUGAAGAAGAGGGGUGGGAAUAAGACUGAAAAGAAGAGAGAGGUGGCAGCAUGCCCAUGAGCGUCGAGUGGGAGCGUGUAAGACUGAAAAGUAGAGAGAGGUGGCAGCAUGCCCAUGAGCGUCAGUGGAGCUGCAUACAGCCCUUUGCAUGCCCCUCUUAGCCCAACUGAGAAUGGAGAAAACCUGUUGAAAAGUCACGGUGGCCGAUUUAAAGACAUUCUUACUGAUGAGAAGAGUAGAGAAACGGGUUCUUCACUCAUAGACUACCUAGCGGCCAAUGGUUUUGACCUGCUCAGCCAUAGCCACGCUCCUCCAGAGAAGUCUGCUGAUAAGAUGGUUUUGAAGUGUCAGAGCAAAAGCAACAUCGCCGUUCAGGAAGGCAAACAGAUGCUGAGUCCAAUCAUCAAGCUAGAAUCGGUUUUUCUCAGAGACGUGGCCACUGGUAAGUGAGUAUCAGUGUA
rnacentral:lncRNA from 1 species